AAACUUUCAACAACGGAUCUCUUGGCUCUCGCAUCGAUGAAGAACGCAGAC
rnacentral:rRNA from 1 species